CUCUCAGGAAAAGGAACUAAUUGUGGUUUCCUAAUUUCAAACCAAUCUACAUCUUCAACGUUCCCUUUGUGUGUUUUACCCAAUUACUUAAAAAAAAAAUAACGCAUGGACUUUUCUUAGUCCAGCAGAAAUGAAUUCACGAGGAAGAGGCCGGAGAAUUUUUCCUCUCGUCUUAUCUGACCCAGAAUCAGCAAGACGCAGGCCAGAGCUGGCUUGGCCGUCAGGCACUUUUGACCACCCAACACCUUUGUUUAGUCAACAUCCUCUUUCCAGAUUUUCAGUCGAGACAGAUUUCGUUCGGUUGAUCGAUGAAGGAGACAAGUUGACCCACCGUGAGGUUGACCCACCGUGAGGCCGGGGGAGCGCUCUCCACUCACAUCCAGCCCUGCGGAGCGCUCAGGAAGCCCACUGGUAGAUUUCGUUCUGGAGCGCCUUGGCCUUGGAAUCAAGCACCAGGAUCAUUGCGCAGCAGGUCUGCUCUCCGUAGCCCGGCUUCCUCGUCUGCGAAACGGGGUUUUUAUGAAAUGCUGUUUAUUGAAGAUGGCAUUUGUGAAAU